GUGAAUUUGUAGACGCUCGAUUGCCAUGGCAACCCCGCAGCCCUCCUCCUCCUGAGCUGCCUGCGAGCGCGCCUUUGGCUGGGGACCCAGCAGCUGCCUCCACUGCCAGGAGCUGGGAGGAGAGCAGGGGCAAAAGGCUCAUUCAGCUCGAUGCGGGCAGAUAUCAGCACCUUCAGACACGUCAAAGCAGCCUCGAGGAGCCGUGGAAGGAUGCCAGUGAACAUAACCUCUGCGACUGCUGGAGGAAUCGUUCCGGGGAGGAAUUAGCAGCACAAUAUUAGUUGCAGGCAAAGAACUUAAUUAGCAGAUUCAGCAGAGAUUCCAAUUAAAAAAAUAAGAAGGGAA
rnacentral:lncRNA from 1 species